rnacentral:rRNA from 1 species
CGUGUAGGCGGCUUGGCAAGUCUGGUGUGAAAUCUUGGGGCUCAACCCCAAGCGUGCACUGGAAACUGCCUCGCUAGAGUCCGGGAGAGGAGAGCGGAACUCCCAGUGUAGCGGUGAAAUGCGCAGAUAUUGGGAAGAACACCGAUGGCGAAGGCAGCUCUCUGGAACGGUACUGACGCUGAGACGCGAAAGCGUGGGGAGCGAACAGGAUUAGAUACCCUGGUAGUCC